GGGCCCGCACAAGCGGUGGAGUAUGUGGUUUAAUUCGAUGAUACGCGAGGAACCUUACCAGGCCUUGACAUCCCCGGAACUUUCUAGAGAUAGAUUGGUGCCUUCGGGAACCGGGUGACAGGUGCUGCAUGGCUGUCGUCAGCUCGUGUCGUGAGAUGUUGGGUUAAGUCCCGUAACGAGCGCAACCCCUACCGUUAGUUGCCAGCGUGUAAUGACGGGGACUCUAACGGAACUGCCGGUGCAAACCGUGAGGAAGGUGGGGACGACGUCAAAUCAUCACGGCCCUUACGUCCUGGGCCACACACGUGCUACAAUGGCUAGGACAGACGGCCGCAAACCCGCGAGGGGGAGCCAAUCCGACAAACCUAGUCGUAGUCCGGAUCGGAGUCUGCAACUCGACUCCGUGAAGUCGGAAUUGCUAGUAAUCGC
rnacentral:rRNA from 1 species